rnacentral:rRNA from 1 species
ACGGAGGGUGCAAGCGUUGUUCGGAAUUACUGGGCGUAAAGGGCGUGUAGGCGGCUGAUUAAGUCAGAUGUGAAAGCCCUGGGCUCAACCCAGGAAGUGCAUUUGAAACUGGUCAGCUAGAGUACGGGAGAGGAAGGUGGAAUUCCUGGUGUAGGAGUGUAAUUCAUUGAUAUCGGGAAGAACACCUGUGGCGAAGGCAGCCUUCUGGGCCGAUACCGACGCUGAGACGCGAAAGCGUGGGGAGCAAACAG